CAUAUGAAAAGUGAGCACUUCCACGCUGCAUCAUCUUUGGAGCAACAAAUCGAAGGAGGUCUAAAAUGGAAUCAACAGUAUAUACUUUGUAAUCUGCAACUGCUUUGAUUCCUCCCCAUCCCAUUUCAUGGUACUCCGUCCACACAUCGCGGCAUGAUGCAUUUGAAUGGGCAAAGUUAUGACCCUUAACGGCAUCCCGGAAGUCUAUUCGUU
rnacentral:misc_RNA from 1 species